UACGAAGGGGGCUAGCGUUGUUCGGAAUCAUUGGGCGUAAAGAGCUCGUAGGCGGUUUGUCGCGUCUGCCGUGAAAGUCCGGGGCUCAACUCCGGAUCUGCGGUGGGUACGGGCAGACUAGAGUGAUGUAGGGGAGACUGGAAUUCCUGGUGUAGCGGUGAAAUGCGCAGAUAUCAGGAGGAACACCGAUGGCGAAGGCAGGUCUCUGGGCAUUAACUGACGCUGAGGAGCGAAAGCAUGGGGAGCAAACAGG
rnacentral:rRNA from 1 species